UACGGGGGGAGCAAGCGUUGUUCGGAUUUACUGGGCGUAAAGGGCGCGUAGGCGGCGUGACAAGUCACUUGUGAAAUCUCCGGGCUUAACCCGGAGCGGCCAAGUGAUACUGUCGUGCUAGAGUGCGGAAGGGGCUACUGGAAUUCUCGGUGUAGCGGUGAAAUGCGUAGAUAUCGAGAGGAACACCUGCGGCGAAGGCGGGUAGCUGGGCCGACACUGACGCUGGAGGCGCGAAAGCCAGGGGAGCGAACGGG
rnacentral:rRNA from 1 species